GCCAUAUGAUGUUUUCCUUUUGAGAAGUGAGCGCCUUGCGCCAUGAUGACCUUAAUCUAUCACCCUUGACUGAUGGCU
ensembl:snoRNA SNORD83 Small nucleolar RNA SNORD83